rnacentral:rRNA from 1 species
AGUGAACGCUGGCGGUAGGCCUAACACAUGCAAGCCGAACGGCAGCACAGUAAGAGCUUGCUCUUACGGGUGGCGAGUGGCGGACGAGUGAGGAAUACAUCGGAAUCUACUUUUUCGUGGGGGAUAACGUAGGGAAACUUACGCUAAUACCGCAUACGACCUACGGGUGAAAGCAGGGGAUCUUCGGACCUUGCGCGAUUGAAUGGGCCGAUGUCGGAUUAGCUAGUUGGCGGGGUAAAGGCCCACCAAGGCGACGAUCCGUAGCUGGUCUGAGAGGAUGAUCAGCCACACUGGAACUGAGACACGGUCCAGACUCCUACGGGAGGCAGCAGUGGGGAAUAUUGGACAAUGGGCGCAAGCCUGAUCCAGCCAUACCGCGUGGGUGAAGAAGGCCUUCGGGUUGUAAAGCCCUUUUGUUGGGAAAGAAAAGCAGCAGGUUAAUACCCCGCUGUUCUGACGGUACCCAAAGAAUAAGCACCGGCUAACUUCGUG